GCCAACUUCAUCUCCCUCCCUGGCUC
rnacentral:piRNA from 1 species